rnacentral:rRNA from 1 species
UACGGGGGGGGCAAGCGUUGUUCGGAAUUACUGGGCGUAAAGCGUGCGCAGGCGGUUUUGUAAGACAGGUGUGAAAUCCCCGGGCUUAACCUGGGAACUGCGCUUGUGACUGCAAGACUCGAGUGUGGCAGAGGGGGGUGGAAUUCCACGUGUAGCAGUGAAAUGCGUAGAGAUGUGGAGGAACACCGAUGGCGAAGGCAGCCCCCUGGGUCAACACUGACGCUCAUGCACGAAAGCGUGGGGAGCAAACAGG